rnacentral:rRNA from 1 species
UAAACUGGAGGAAGGUGGGGAUGACGUCAAGUCAUCAUGGCCCUUACGAGUAGGGCUACACACGUGCUACAAUGGCGCAUACAAAGAGAAGCGACCUCGCGAGAGCAAGCGGACCUCAUAAAGUGCGUCGUAGUCCGGAUCGGAGUCUGCAACUCGACUCCGUGAAGUCGGAAUCGCUAGUAAUCGUAGAUCAGAAUGCUACGGUGAAUACGUUCCCGGGCCUUGUACACACCGCCCGUCACACCAUGGGAGUGGGUUGCAAAAGAAGUA